UCAAUACUCACCUCAAUACUCACCUCAAUAUUUACUCAAUACUCACCUCAAUACUCACCUCAAUACUCACCUCAAUAUUUACUCAAUACUCACCUCAAUACUCACUCAAUACUCACCUCAAUACUUACUCAAUACUCACCUCAAUAGUCACCUCAAUACUCACCUCAAUAUUUACUCAAUACUCACCUCAAUACUCACCUCAAUACUCACCUCAAUAUUUACUCAAUACUCACCCCAAUACUCACCUCAAUACUCACCUCAAUACUCACCUCAAUACUCACCUCAAUACUCACCUCAAUACUCACCUCAAUACUCACCUCAAUACUCACUUCAAUACUCACCUCAAUACUCACCUCAAUACUCACCUCAAUAUUUACUCAAUACUCACCCCAAUACUCACCUCAAUACUCACCUCAAUACUCACCUCAAUACUCACCUCAAUACUCACCUCAAUACUCACCUCAAUACUCACCUCAAUACUCACCUCAAUAUUUACUCAAUACUCACCUCAAUACUCACCUCAAUAUUCACUCAAUACUCACCUCAAUAUUUACUCAAUACUCACCUCAAUACUCACCUCAAUAUUCACUCAAUACUCACUCAAUAUUCACCUCAAUACUCACCUCAAUACUCACUCAAUACUCACCUCAAUAUUCACCUCAACACUCACAUCAAAACACGAAAAGCAAAACACAAUCAAAACAAACACAUGCUUCAGUAAUAAGGUGCUCGAUAUAUUUGAAUUGUAUAUGAUGACAAUUGGCCCAGUGUCGUCCGGGUUUGGCCGGGGUAGUUAACCCACUGUUCCUAGACCAGUUAACCCACUGUUCCUAGGCCAGUUAACCCACUGUUCCUAGACCAGUUAACCCACUGUUCCUAGACCAGUUAACCCACUGUUCCUAGACCAGUUAACCCACUGUUCCAAGGCCGUCAUUGUAAAUAAGAAUUUGUUCUUAACUGACUUGCCUAGUUAAAUAAAAUAAAAACAUUUCAACUUUAAGGAUAUUAUGAGAUUUUUUUGGUCCGUUUCAAAAUUUGAUUGUGUAUGGAGGCCUUAUUUUAUAAAUGUUUUUAUAAUUUUUUAUCUUUCUAAAUGUAAUGUAUCUCACUGUUUCUUGCGCAUUUAAUACAUUAUAUUACAUGUUAAACAGCAAAAGGUUUAUGAAAUAAUAAAAUAACUCUUUCUCUCAUCAAGCGCUUCUGUGUUUCAUGUCAGAACUUAGCAAGAGAUCUCUCAACCAGUUUCCCGAUUGUUGCAUUCCAAAGUCUUAUCUAGCUGGUUUACACUCCCUGCCUGAUGUUCUUUCUCUCUCACACACACACACACACACACACACACACACACACACACACACACACACACACACACACACACA
ensembl:lncRNA